UGAGAAGUAGCUGGUCCGUGACUGCAAA
rnacentral:piRNA from 1 species